rnacentral:rRNA from 1 species
UACGAAGGGGGCUAGCGUUGUUCGGAUUUACUGGGCGUAAAGCGCACGUAGGCGGAUCUUUAAGUCAGAGGUGAAAUCCCAAGGCUCAACCUUGGAACUGCCUUUGAUACUGGGGAUCUUGAGUCCGGGAGAGGUGAGUGGAACUGCGAGUGUAGAGGUGAAAUUCGUAGAUAUUCGCAAGAACACCAGUGGCGAAGGCGGCUCACUGGCCCGGUACUGACGCUGAGGUGCGAAAGCGUGAGGAGCAAACAGG